UGGGGAAUUUUGGACAAUGGGCGCAAGCCUGAUCCAGCCAUGCCGCGUGCGGGAAGAAGGCCUUCGGGUUGUAAACCGCUUUUGUCAGGGAAGAAAUCUUCUGGGUUAAUACCUCGGGAGGAUGACGGUACCUGAAGAAUAAGCACCGGCUAACUACGUGCCAGCAGCCGCGGUAAUACGUAGGGUGCAAGCGUUAAUCGAAAUUACUGGGCGUAAAGCGUGCGCAGGCGGUUAUGCAAGACAGAUGUGAAAUCCCCGGGCUCAACCUGGGAACUGCAUUUGUGACUGCAUGGCUAGAGUGCGGCAGAGGGGGAUGGAAUUCCGCGUGUAGCAGUGAAAUGCGUAGAUAUGCGGAGGAACACCGAUGGCGAAGGCAAUCCCCUGGGCCUGCACUGACGCUCAUGCACGAAAGCGUGGGGAGCAAACAGGAUUAGAUACCCUGGUAGUCCACGCCCUAAACGAUGUCAACUGGUUGUUGGGAAGGUUCCUUCUCAGUAACGUAGCUAACGCGUGAAGUUGACCGCCUGGGGAGUACGGCCGCAAGGUUG
rnacentral:rRNA from 1 species